rnacentral:lncRNA from 1 species
GGGGGUUUGGUGAAAGGUUUUAUAAAUGCAAAUGACUAAAUUAAAAUGGAAAUUAAACACACUAAGCAUAAUUAAAAUCUUCAAAGUGAACACUAAAAUUAAAAUAAAAAUAUAAAUAAAAGAUAAGUCACUAAAAAAAAUAAAAUGGCUAGCAAUUAAUUAAACAUGCAAGACAUAAGGAAAAAAUAAAAAAAAAUAAAAAAUAAAAACAACGUGCUCUUCCUUUCUCCAAUGCUCAGGCCGUGGCACUUACUUAAUCAUUCAUCCAC